UACGUAGGGUGCAAGCGUUAAUCGGAAUUACUGGGCGUAAAGCGUGCGCAGGCGGUCUCGCAAGUCCGAUGUGAAAUCCCCGGGCUCAACCUGGGAACUGCGUUGGAAACUACGAGGCUAGAGUACGGCAGAGGGGGGGUGGAAUUCCACGUGUAGCGGUGGAAUGCGCAGAUAUCAGGAAGAACACCCGUGGCGAAGGCGGCUCUCUGGAACGCAACUGACGCUGAGACGCGAAAGCGUGGGGAGCAAACAGG
rnacentral:rRNA from 1 species